rnacentral:rRNA from 1 species
GACGAACGCUGGCGGCGUGCUUAACACAUGCAAGUAGAACGGAAAGGCCCUGCUUUUGUGGGGUGCUCGAGUGGCGAACGGGUGAGUAACACGUGAGUAACCUGCCCUUGACUUUGGGAUAACUUCAGGAAACUGGGGCUAAUACCGGAUAGGAGCUCCUGCUGCAUGGUGGGGGUUGGAAAGUUUCGGCGGUUGGGGAUGGACUCGCGGCUUAUCAGCUUGUUGGUGGGGUAGUGGCUUACCAAGGCUUUGACGGGUAGCCGGCCUGAGAGGGUGACCGGCAAGGUGGGGACUGAGAGAGGCCCCGGACGCGGGGGGGAGGGGGCAGGGGGGAAGAUGGCAAAAGGGCGGGGAGCCGGAGGCGGCACCGCCGGGGGGGGGGUGAGGGCCUUGGGUUAGUAAACCGGUCCCGCCUGGUACGAGGGGGGGGUGAGGGUAGGGGGAAAAGAAGCGCGGGCUAACUACGGG